rnacentral:tRNA from 1 species
GGUGAGUUGGCUCAGUUGGUAGAGCUUAGGACUUGUGACCGGAAGGUUCCGGGUUCGAAUCUCGCCAGGCUAAGCU